GAUGAAGAACGCAGCGAAAUGCGAUAGGUAAUGUGAAUUGCAGAAUUCAGUGAAUCAUCGAAUCUUUGAACGCACCUUGCGCCUUUUGGUAUUCCGAAAGGCACACCUGUUUGAGCGUCAUGAAUACCUCAAUCUCCAUCUUUUCUUCGGAUUGAUGGGUGACUUGGAUGUUGAGCCCUGCUGGUAUGCUAUAUCAGCUGGCUUUAAACUUAUUAGCCGGCUCUGUACUGGAUCGGUUUGACUCGACGUGAUAAUAUUAUCGUUGAGGAUGCAUGUCUCAUGCAGCCGGAAAGUAUCAAAGCAGCUUCUAGCUUGCCUUUAGUGCACUUUUACAUUUUAGACCUCAGAUCAGGUGGGACUACCCGCUGAACUUAAGCAUAUCAAUAAGCGGAGGA
rnacentral:misc_RNA from 1 species